AGAAAUUUUCUUUCCCCUCUUGCUGGACUGAUACAGAAUGAUGAAGAUAUCGUUUUGCUUCGUCUGUCUAAUUUCCAUUGUCUUCAUAAUACUUCUCCAAACCCAGAAUCGCAGGGCAGCUUCUCUUUCAUGGCACCACAACACCUCUCCGGCUAACGACACCGUCUCCUCCACCGCUGAUGCCCCCACAACUACCGCAGCCUGUGACUCCGACCACCGCUGCCUCGUCGCCGAUGUGGCCGACACCGACUCUUUCUACUCGGAUCCUCGAUUUGUGAGCAUAUUGGACUCAAAUUCACUCCAAAUCACUCCCAAGACCCUUACCCCUGGACCUUCAGUUAA